rnacentral:rRNA from 1 species
GACGAACGCUGGCGGCGUGCUUAACACAUGCAAGUCGAACGGAAAGGCCCUGCUUUUGUGGGGUGCUCGAGUGGCGAACGGGGGAGUAACACGUGAGUAACCUGCCCUUGACUUUGUGAUAACUUCAGGAAACUGGGGCUAAUAUCGGGUAGGAGCUCCUGCUGCAUGGGGGGGGUUGGAAAGUUUCGGCGGUUGUGGAUGGACUCGCGGCUUAUCAGCUUGUUGGUGGGGUAGUGGCUUACCAAGGCUUUGACGGGUAGCCGGCCUGUGAGGGUGACCGGCCACAUUGGGACUGAGAUACGGCCCAGACUCCUACGGGAGGCAGCAGUGGGGAAUAUUGCACAAUGGGCGGAAGCCUGAUGCAGCAACGCCGCGUGCGGGAUGACGGCCUUCGGGUUGUAAACCGCUUUCGCCUGUGACGAAGCGUGAGUGACGGUAAUGGGUAAAGAAGCACCGGCUAACUACGUG